GACGAACGCUGGCGGCGUGCUUAACACGUGCAAGUCGAACGGAAAGGCCCUGCUUUUGUGGGGUGCUCGAGUGGCGAACGGGUGAGUAACACGUGAGUAACCUGCCCUUGACUUUGGGAUAACUUCAGGAAACUGGGGCUAAUACCGGAUAGGAGCUCCUGCUGCAUGGUGGGGGUUGGAAAGUUUCGGCGGUUGGGGAUGGACUCGCGGCUUAUCAGCUUGUUGGUGGGGUAGUGGCUUACCAAGGCUUUGACGGGUAGCCGGCCUGAGAGGGUGACCGGCCACAUUGGGACUGAGAUACGGCCCAGACUCCUACGGGAGGCAGCAGUGGGGAAUAUUGCACAAUGGGCGGAAGCCUGAUGCAGCAACGCCGCGUGCGGGAUGACGGCCUUCGGGUUGUAAACCGCUUUCGCCUGUGACGAAGCGUGAGUGACGGUAAUGGGUAAAGAAGUACCGGCUAACUACGUG
rnacentral:rRNA from 1 species